GAACCCUUGGCACAGUGGUAGCGCGUGAGAUUCCAGCUUGGCAAAUCCUCAAGGUCGUCCGUUCAAUCCGGGCAGGGUUCA
rnacentral:tRNA from 1 species